GUGUUAGUAUAUGGCUUAGUUUGAAGCUAGGUUAACUAAAUAAUAAUUUAGCUAACAUU
rnacentral:tRNA from 1 species